rnacentral:rRNA from 1 species
UACAGAGGGUGCGAGCGUUAAUCGGAAUUACUGGGCGUAAAGCGUGCGUAGACGGCUAUCUAAGUCGGGUGUGAAAGCCCCGGGCUCAACCUGGGAAUUGCAUUCGAGACUGAAUAGCUAGGGUGCGGUAGAGGGAAGCGGAAUUUCCGGUGUAGCGGUGAAAUGCGUAGAUAUCGGGGAGGAACACCAGUGGCGAAGGCGCUACCUGGCCCAUUCUUGACGCUGAGGCGCGAAGCUAGGGGAGCGAACGG